CCUACGGGCGGCAGCAGUGAGGAAUAUUGGUCAAUGGCCGGAAGGCUGAUGCAGCGACGCCGCGUGAGUGAAGAAGUAUUUCGGUAUGUAAAGCUCUAUCAGCAGGGAAGAAAAUGACGGUACCUGACUAAGAAGCCCCGGCUAACUACGUGCCAGCAGCCGCGGUAAUACGUAGGGGGCAAGCGUUAUCCGGAUUUACUGGGUGUAAAGGGAGCGUCGGCGGCAGGACAAGUCUGAAGUGAAAUCCCGCGGCCCAACUGCGGGACUGCUUUGGAAACUGCCCGGCUAGAGUGCUGGAGAGGUAAGCGGAAUUCCUAGUGUAGCGGUGAAAUGCGUAGAUAUUAGGAGGAACACCAGUGGCGAAGGCGGCUUACUGGACAGUAACUGACGUUGAGGCUCGAAAGCGUGGGGAGCAAACAGGAUUAGAUACCCGAGUAGUC
rnacentral:rRNA from 1 species